GACGAACGCUGGCGGCGUGCUUAACACAUGCAAGUCGAACGAAAAUACCAAGCUUGCUUGGUUGAUUAGUGGCGAACGGGUGAGUAACACGUGAGUAACCUGCCCCUUACUUUCUGGAUAACUGCUCGAAAGGGUAGCUAAUACGGGAUAUUCUGGCCUUCCUGCAUGGGUUGGUUUGGAAAGGUUUUUUUCUGGUGAGGGAUGGGCUCGCGGCCUAUCAGCUUGUUGGUGGGGUGAUGGCCUACCAAGGCUUUGACGGGUAGCCGGCCUGAGAGGGUGGACGGUCACACUGGGACUGAGAUACGGCCCAGACUCCUACGGGAGGCAGCAGUGGGGAAUAUUGCACAAUGGGCGCAAGCCUGAUGCAGCGACGCCGCGUGAGGGAUGAAGGCCUUCGGGUUGUAAACCUCUUUCGUCAGGGAACAAGGCACUGCUUUUGGUGGUGUUGAGGGUACCUGGAUAAGAAGCGCCGGCUAACUACGUGCCAGCAGCCGCGGUAAUACGUAGGGCGCAAGCGUUGUCCGGAAUUAUUGGGCGUAAAGAGCCCGUAGGCGGCUGGUCGCGUCUGUCGUGAAAACUUCCGGCUCAACCGGGGGCUUGCGGUGGGUACGGGCCGGCUAGAGUGCGGUAGGGGUAACUGGAACUCCUGGUGUAGCGGUGGAAUGCGCAGAUAUCAGGAAGAACACCGAUGGCGAAGGCAGGUUACUGGGCCGUUACUGGCGCUGAGGAGCGAAAGCGUGGGGAGCGAACAGG
rnacentral:rRNA from 1 species